AAGACUAUACUUUAGGGCUCAUUUCUAUAACUGGUUACUAGAGAAGUUUUUCUGAACGUGCAGAGCACUGAAAACCGCGCGGAGGAGGCGCUGCGUCCUCUCCUGGGCGGAAGCCACCUGUUGGUGCCGCUUCGCUGCCUUUGUCGCCUCCGCGUCUGCCACCGCCGCUGGUGGUCCUUCUCUUCCUUCCGGAGGGCAAGAAGGACAGAACGCAGUCUGAGCGGC